CCUACGGGAGGCAGCAGUGGGGAAUAUUGCACAAUGGGGGAAACCCUGAUGCAGCGACGCCGCGUGAGUGAAGAAGUAUUUCGGUACGUAAAGCUCUAUCAGCAGGGAAGAAAAUGACGGUACCUGACUAAGAAGCCACGGCUAACUACGGGCCAGCAGCCGCCGUAAUACGUAGGGGGCAAGCGUUAUCCGGAUUUACUGGGUGUAAAGGGAGCGCAGGCGGCGUGGCAAGUCAGAUGUGAAAACCCGGGGCCCAACCCCGGGAGUGCAUUUGAAACUGCCAUGCUGGAGUGUCGGAGAGGUAAGCGGAAUUCCUGGUGUAGCGGUGAAAUGCGUAGAUGUUAGGAGGAACACCAGUGGCGGAGGCGGCUUACUGGACGGUAACUGACGCUGAGGCUCGAAAGCGUGGGGAGCAAACAGGAUUAGAUACCCUUGUAGUC
rnacentral:rRNA from 1 species